rnacentral:rRNA from 1 species
CAGGUUUACCUGUGUGACUGCGUACCUUUUGUAUAAUGGGUCAGCGACUUAUAUUCUGUAGCAAGGUUAACCGAAUAGGGGAGCCGGAGGGAAACCGAGUCUUAAUUGGGCGUUAAGUUGCAGGGUAUAGACCCGAAACCCGGUGAUCUAGCCAUGGGCAGGUUGAAGGUUGGGUAACACUAACUGGAGGACCGAACCGACUAAUGUUGAAAAAUUAGCGGAUGACCUGUGGCUGGGGGUGAAAGGCCAAUCAAACCGGGAGAUAGCUGGUUCUCCCCGAAAGCUAUUUAGGUAGCGCCUCGUGAAUUCAUCUCCGGGGGUAGAGCACUGUUUCGGCUAGGGGGCCAUCCCGGCUUACCAACCCGAUGCAAACUGCGAAUACCGGAGAAUGUUAUCACGGGAGACACACGGCGGGUGCUAACGUCCGUCGUGAAGAGGGAAACAACCCAGACCGCCAGCUAAGGUCCCAAAGUCAUGGUUAAGUGGGAAACGAUGUGGGAAGGCCCAGACAGCCAGGAUGUUGGCUUAGAAGCAGCCAUCAUUUAAAGAAAGCGUAAUAGCUCACUGGUCGAGUCGGCCUGCGCGGAAGAUGUAACGGGGCUAAACCAUGCACCGAAGCUGCGGCAGCGAACGUAUCACCCAAGACAACUUUACGGAGUUGACGAUUGACGGAGCGAAGCGACGUCAAAGCGUUCAUUAAAGUCGAGUUGGCUUAGGGAUACGUUCGUUGGGUAGGGGAGCGUUCUGUAAGCCUGUGAAGGUGUGUCGUGAGGCAUGCUGGAGGUAUCAGAAGUGCGAAUGCUGACAUAAGUAACGAUAAAGCGGGUGAAAAGCCCGCUCGCCGGAAGACCAAGGGUUCCUGUCCAACGUUAAUCGGGGCAGGGUGAGUCGACCCCUAAGGCGAGGCCGAAAGGCGUAGUCGAUGGGAAACGGGUUAAUAUUCCCGUACUUGGUGUUACUGCGAAGGGGGGACGGAGAAGGCUAUGUUGGCCGGGCGACGGUUGUCCCGGUUUAAGCGUGUAGGUGUGUGUUCCAGGUAAAUCCGGUUCACUUUAACACUGAGGCGUGACGACGAGGCACUACGGUGCUGAAGCAACAAAUGCCCUGCUUCCAGGAAAAGCCUCUAAGCAUCAGGUAACACGAAAUCGUACCCCAAACCGACACAGGUGGUCAGGUAGAGAAUACCAAGGCGCUUGAGAGAACUCGGGUGAAGGAACUAGGCAAAAUGGUGCCGUAACUUCGGGAGAAGGCACGCUGACACGUAGGUGAAGUGAUUUACUCAUGGAGCUGAAGUCAGUCGAAGAUACCAGCUGGCUGCAACUGUUUAUUAAAAACACAGCACUGUGCAAACACGAAAGUGGACGUAUACGGUGUGACGCCUGCCCGGUGCCGGAAGGUUAAUUGAUGGGGUCAGCGCAAGCGAAGCUCCUGAUCGAAGCCCCGGUAAACGGCGGCCGUAACUAUAACGGUCCUAAGGUAGCGAAAUUCCUUGUCGGGUAAGUUCCGACCUGCACGAAUGGCGUAAUGAUGGCCAGGCUGUCUCCACCCGAGACUCAGUGAAAUUGAACUCGCUGUGAAGAUGCAGUGUACCCGCGGCAAGACGGAAAGACCCCGUGAACCUUUACUAUAGCUUGACACUGAACAUUGAGCCUUGAUGUGUAGGAUAGGUGGGAGGCUUUGAAGUGUGGACGCCAGUCUGCAUGGAGCCGACCUUGAAAUACCACCCUUUAAUGUUUGAUGUUCUAACGUGGACCCGUAAUCCGGGUUGCGGACAGUGUCUGGUGGGUAGUUUGACUGGGGCGGUCUCCUCCUAAAGAGUAACGGAGGAGCACGAAGGUUGGCUAAUCCUGGUCGGACAUCAGGAGGUUAGUGCAAUGGCAUAAGCCAGCUUGACUGCGAGCGUGACGGCGCGAGCAGGUGCGAAAGCAGGUCAUAGUGAUCCGGUGGUUCUGAAUGGAAGGGCCAUCGCUCAACGGAUAAAAGGUACUCCGGGGAUAACAGGCUGAUACCGCCCAAGAGUUCAUAUCGACGGCGGUGUUUGGCACCUCGAUGUCGGCUCAUCACAUCCUGGGGCUGAAGUAGGUCCCAAGGGUAUGGCUGUUCGCCAUUUAAAGUGGUACGCGAGCUGGGUUUAGAACGUCGUGAGACAGUUCGGUCCCUAUCUGCCGUGGGCGCUGGAGAACUGAGGGGGGCUGCUCCUAGUACGAGAGGACCGGAGUGGACGCAUCACUGGUGUUCGGGUUGUCAUGCCAAUGGCACUGCCCGGUAGCUAAAUGCGGAAGAGAUAAGUGCUGAAAGCAUCUAAGCACGAAACUUGCCCCGA